UACGUAGGGUGCAAGCGUUGUCCGGAAUUAUUGGGCGUAAAGAGCUCGUAGGCGGUUUGUCGCGUCGACUGUGAAAACCCGGGGCUCAACCCCGGGCCUGCAUUCGAUACGGGCAGACUAGAGUUCGGUAGGGGAGUCUGGAAUUCCUGGUGUAGCGGUGAAAUGCGCAGAUAUCAGGAGGAACACCGGUGGCGAAGGCGGAUCUCUGGGCCAUUACUGACGCUGAGGAGCGAAAGCGUGGGGAGCGAACAGG
rnacentral:rRNA from 1 species